rnacentral:rRNA from 1 species
CACGUAGGGGGCGAGCGUUGUCCGGAUUCAUUGGGCGUAAAGCGCGCGCAGGCGGCUCGGAAAGUCGGGUGUGAAAACUCGGGGCUCAACCCCGGGCGUGCAUCCGAUACUGCCGGGCUUGAGGCAGGUAGGGGAGAUCGGAAUUCCUGGUGUAGCGGUGAAAUGCGCAGAUAUCAGGAAGAACACCCGUGGCAAAGGCGGCUCUCUGGGACGGUACUGACGCUGAGACGCGAAAGCGUGGGGAGCGAACAGG